rnacentral:rRNA from 1 species
CAGCAGCCACGGUAAAACGGAGGAUCCAAGCGUUAUCCGGAAUCAUUGGGUUUAAAGGGUCCGUAGGCGGUUUAGUAAGUCAGUGGUGAAAGCCCAUCGCUCAACGGUGGAACGGCUAUUGAUACUGCUGAACUUGAACUAUUAGGAAGUAACUAGAAUAUGUAGUGUAGCGGUGAAAUGCUUAGAGAUUACAUGGAAUACCAAUUGCGAAGGCAGGUUACUACUAAUUGAUUGACGCUGAUGGACGAAAGCGUGGGGAGCGAACAGGAUUAGAUACCCCCGUAGUCCCUGUCUCUUAUAC